rnacentral:rRNA from 1 species
UACAGAGGUCCCAAGCGUUGUUCGGAUUCACUGGGCGUAAAGAGCGCGCAGGCGGUCGUUCAAGUCGAGUGUGAAAGCCCCCGGCUCAACUGGGGAGGGUCACUCGAUACUGAUCGACUUGAAGGCAGGAGAGGGAAGCGGAAUUCCUGGUGUAGCGGUGGAAUGCGCAGAUAUCAGGAGGAACACCGGUGGCGAAGGCGGGUCUCUGGGCAGUAACUGACGCUGAGGAGCGAAAGCGUGGGGAGCGAACAGG